rnacentral:rRNA from 1 species
CCCUUAGAUGUUCUGGGCGGCCCGCGCACUACAUUGGCACUGGCAACAAGAUCCUAGAUCUGGUAUUUCGGGGUAUUCUACCAACUGGUGUCGUGACUGGGAUUAACCCCUGCAAUUAUUGGUUAUGAACGAGGAAUUCCUUGUAAUCACGGUUUAUCAACCCGUGUUGAAUGCGUCCCUGCCCUUUGUACACACCGCCCGUCGCUCCUACCGAUGAAUCGUCCGGUGAAGUUCAUGGAGUCGCGGCUGCUCCAGCUGUUUUCGAAGUGAAAUGGACCUCAUGAUUUAGAGGAAGGAGAANUCGUAACA